UAAAGAUUUUAAGGGCGUACGGUGGAUGCCUUGGCGAUAUCAGCCGAAGAAGGACGCGGUAAGCUGCGAUAAGCUACGGAGAGGUGCAAGCAACCUGUGACCCGUAGAUUUCCGAAUGGGGGAACCCGGCAGUGGUUAUGCACUGUCACCCAUAGCUUAGACUAUGAGGAGGGCACCUGGGGAACUGAAACAUCUAAUUACCCAGAGGAACAGUAAUCAAACGAGAUUUUCUUAGUAGCGGCGAGCGAACGGGAAAGAGGCCAAACCGGAGCGGGCAACCGCACCGGGGUUGAGGACAGUCAUCAAGUGUAAAUGAGGUAGAAGAAUCGAGCUGGAAAGCUCAGCCGCAGAAGGUGAAAGCCCUGUAAUCGAAACCUUGCAUACAUGGGACUGUAUCCAGAGUACCACGAGACACGUGAAACCUUGUGGGAAGCAGGGGGGACCACCCUCCAAGCCAAAAUACUGAUAUCGACCGAUAGCGCAUAGUACCGUGAGGGAAAGGUGAAAAGAACCCCUGGCGGGGAGUGAAAGAGAACCUGAAACCGUAUGUCUACAAACAGUCGAAGUCUGUAUAUAUAUCAGGACGACGGCGUGCCUAUUGAAGAAUGAACCGACGAGUUACUGUUGCUAGCGAGGUUAAGUGGAAAACAUGGAGCCGCAGCGAAAGCGAGUCUGAACAGGGCGUUCAGUUAGUAAUAGUAGACCCGAAACCGUAGUGAUCUAUCCAUGGCCAGGUUGAAGCACAGGUAAAAUUGUGUGGAGGACCGAACUCGUGAGCGUUGAAAAGCUUUGGGAUGAGUUGUGGAUAGGGGUGAAAUGCCAAUCGAACACGGAGAUAGCUGGUUCUCCCCGAAAUAGCUUUAGGGCUAGCCUCGAGGUAGAGAGUAUAGGCGGUAGAGCACUGAUCGGGCUAGGGGCCAUACCGGUUACCGAACCUAGUCAAACUACGAAUGGCUAUACUUAUACUCGGGAGUCAGACAGUGAAUGAUAAGGUCCAUUGUCAAGAGGGAAACAGCCCAGAACACCGACUAAGGUCCCCAAUGUUACACUAAGUGGCGAAGGAUGUGGAAUUUCCAAAACAACCAGGAUGUUGGCUUAGAAGCAGCCACCAUUUAAAGAGUGCGUAAUAGCUCACUGGUCGAGAGACUCUGCGCCGAAAAUGUCCGGGGCUAAAGUGUAAAACCGAAGUCGUGUCAUAUGCAGCAAUGUAUAUGGGUAGGGGAGCGUUCUCAUCGGGCUGAAGCAGUACCGUAAGGAGUUGUGGACUGAUGAGAAGUGAGAAUGUCGGUAUGAGUAGCGAAAAGAAUGGUGAGAAUCCAUUCCACCGAAAGCCUAAGGGUUCCUGAGCAACGAUCGUCGUCUCAGGGUAAGUCGGGACCUAAGCCGAGGCGGAAAAGCGUAGGCGAUGGACAACAGGUUGAAAUUCCUGUACCGGUGUGAAUCGUUUGAUCGAUGGAGUGACACAGUAAGGUAGGUCAGCACGCGAUUGGAAGAGCGUGUUUAAGCAGGUAGGUUGAGCUAUAGGCAAAUCCGUAGCUCUAAAAGCUGAGAUGUGAUGACGAGCGACUAGCAAUAGUCGCGAAGUGAUUGAUCCUACACUGUCGAGAAAAGCUUCUAGGUAGAGACACAUCGCCCGUACCAAAACCGACACAGGUAGGCGGGGAGAGAAUCCUAAGGUGCGCGGGAAAACCCUCGUUAAGGAACUCGGCAAAAUGCCUCCGUAACUUCGGGAAAAGGAGGACUCAUGUAGUGUGAAGAGCAGAAGCGCUUGGAGCAUGAAUGAGUGGCACAAGAGAGGCGCAAGCGACUGUUUACCACAAACACAGGUGCCUGCUAAAGCGAAAGCUGAUGUAUAGGGGCUGACGCCUGCCCGGUGCUGGAAGGUUAAGAGGAGGGGUUAGACUUCGGUCGAAGCUCUGAAUUGAAGCCCCAGUAAACGGCGGCCGUAACUAUAACGGUCCUAAGGUAGCGAAAUUCCUUGUCGGGUAAGUUCCGACCCG
rnacentral:rRNA from 1 species